GGAUGAUUAGCUCAGCGGUAGAGCGUUCGCCUUACAAGCGAAGGGUCGGGGGUUCAAAUCCCUCAUCAUCCACCA
rnacentral:tRNA from 4 species